UAAAUAGAAACUAAAAGGGCUAGUCAGGUAGCUACUACAUGAGUGCUGCUCACCUUUGCUCUUGGCCGCCAAAUUUGUACCCUCAACAGCUUCAUCGGAGGCGGAAACCGAAGCUCUUCUAUCAAAGCCCUCACUUGACAAACGUCGUAUCACAAAAUUCCCUUAUCGAUGGUUACUUCAAACACAGUCACAUCCAACAAGCAGAAUACCUGUUCGAUCAAAUGCCUCAUAGAGAUGUCAUUUUUUGGAACACAAAUGCUCUCUCUGGGUAGCGCAACGCCAACAAGCCGGAGAAAGUAUACAACAGAUGUGGAGAAAUGAACAGAUGUGGAGAAAUAAGACCAAUGAGCUCACUUUCACGAAACAAAAGUUGCUUCCUGCAUUUUUGAGUCCAUCCCUUCAAGAAAUUCGAUCAUUGGAGAUUAUGCAAACAUGGGCUUGCAGAGAAGGCAAUGCAAGAGUUUGAGAGGAUGCUGAAGAGUGGUAUCAGGUCUUGGGAUAUUGCUAGCAUCAUAUGGUUUGCACUCAUGUCUAGAACUCGGAGAGAUUGCAGCAAAUGGUAUCUACACAUUGGAGCACAACCAUCCUGCAGUAUACUUAGGUGCUUUCAAAAAUCCACGGAGACAAAGGAGUGUGCAGUGACAUAACUAGUUUCGAACUUUGGAUAACUUGAUGAAGAAAUGGCGUGCUACAAAGCAGAAGGCUGGUAGAAUGUCUGUCUACUAUGAGGCAAGUGGUUUUCUACAUAACACUUUCCUUAUGAAAUUAUUAAAAAUCUAUACAUUUUUAAGUUUUUCCUUUUUAGUAUCUUAAUUUUUAUGCCCAAUAGAACAUAAACUUUUAGAAACCAAAUCAUAUGGGAUAUAGCAUGUAAGUUCUUGUGCCAAAAAACUUUUAUCAAAUUUGAUCAUUUUUCUCUUAUAAAUAUACCUUUAACUGUCAAGGUUUUGAAUUGAAUUUAAAAGAUUCGAUAUUCUAUUUAUUUGUUUGAAUUUGAAUCAUGAUAGUUCAUAGAUACACUCACUUCAUUAGUUGUUGAUUUACAUUAUUUGAUGCUCAUUAAGAAUUAUUACUAUAUUGAUAUGUAGUCAAGAGUUAUUUAUCAUCAGACAUGAGGUCGAUCAGAAUUGCAAUUUUUGGAAAUAUUUUUUCUUUUAUUACUACUGUAUAUAAGGAAAAAUAUCUAAUUUUGUAGUUUGCACAUUAUUUUUCUUGUCUCUUUUAUUCAGAUUGAAAUUUGUAAGAUCAUACAUAUUUGAUAAAUUUUAAAAACUUUAAGGAAUUUUUAUAUGCUACUCAAAAUGAUGUUGUCAUGAAAAGGAUUAUACAAUCCUACAAAGUGUAUUCAUAUAUUGAGAUUACUUAACUUGUUACAAAUAAUAUUUUACUUUAAGACAUUAUUGUAAGCAUAAAUUUAAUGCACAUUAGGAUCUUAGACUAUAAUUUACUCAUAGGCAUUAUACAAACAUGUCUGAAUACAUUAUUGUGGAAAGUGAUUUUUACAAUAAUGUCUUUAGGUAUGUUUCUAUAAUGCCUCUCAGUAAAUUAUUUUGUCUAAAAUACUGACAUGCAUUAGGUUAUUGCUUACAAUAUAUAAUAUCUUAAGACAAAAUAUUAUUUGUAACAAAUUUAAUAAUAUUUUCAUAUAAAUUGAAGACUUAAUAUAUGAAUGUACUUUGUAGGAUCAUUGUAAACUUUUUCAUGAAAACAUAAUUUCUAGUAGCAUACAAUUUCUUUUAAAGUUCUUAAAAUUUAUUAGAUAUUCUAGGUCUUACUGAUUUCUUUUUGAAUAAAAGGACAAGAUAUUUAAUGUUUAGACUACAAAAGUGGUGUCUUCCUUGUAUAUAGGAGUAGUAAUAAGAGAAAAAUUAUUUCCAAAAAGUAGCAAUCCCGAUUCAUGCAUGAUAAUAAAUCACUUGUGAUUAUAUAAUUUUUUUAAUGAGUAUCAAACAAUGUGAUUUAGCAACUAAUGAACUGAAUUUGUCUAAAUUGAAUAUCUAACUUUUUUUAAAUUUACUAAAAGCUUUGACAACUAAAGUUAUACUUAUAAAAGCAAAAAUGGUCAAAUUUUAUUUUUUUACAAUGGUAAAAGAUCAAUUUAUCCUGAGUUAUACUAUAAUUUAAGAUUAUUCUAUCAUUAUCUAAAUAAUUCAAAUAUAUUUUGGUAGAACUAUCUAAAUAGUAGGGUUUACAAAAGACUCAUAAUUUACUCCUUUGCUCAAUAGAUGAGUCAUUCGAUUCCUCUCCCAGUUGCAUUUAAGAUCUGCACUACACAAGAAUACUAGAAGAAUGCAUAUUGACUUCUAAUGAGUCGAGAUUGAUUUCAACAGGGGGAAAGAUUGUAUUGAAUAGCUAGCCAUGAGCCUUGUAGGGCUUUGAGCUCUUCCAUUAUGGGCCUUGACAUUGAAUCCAGGGGCCAAUCCCCUCUAUGAUUUCUAAUAAUGCCAUUGAUUUCUUCAAUACUAGAGCUGAACUUGACAGAACCAUCAGUGUUAAGCAUGUAAGUCUCAAGAGGAGCAGAGUUCCAAUUGACUAAGAUUGUAUAUGGUUGUCCUUUAGGUAUGGAUAUUUGGUCGAUGAGAAGAUGGUACUCAAUGACUUAGAGGUUUCCUUUUCAUUUUGUUUAAUAAGUUUUUAUUCCUUUAAAACCAAAUAUUCCAAAAAAAGAAAAAGAAAAGAAAAAGCAUGAAAUUCCAAGAGAGCAUAACAUUAUAGGGUUCCUUUGGUUCCUAUUUUUAGAGACUGAUGGACUUUUGCAGGCAUUUUGAUGUACUAUAUAAUGUGAAAGGGGAUAUGCUUCCUAGAGAAACCCUAGCUAGCAUAGUUCUGCUAUCCAUGUUGAGGAACUUGUUUUGUUGUUCAUAUUGUCAAUAAUUUGUUGGGAGUCACUAUUGUCAGCCUUCAUUUGGAAAUAUGUUUCCUUAUAUUUUACUAUAUAAGGAAGGAAAUUCAAUUCUAUAGUCCACUCAUGAA